rnacentral:rRNA from 1 species
CGCUGGCGGCAGGCCUAACACAUGCAAGUCGAGCGGAAACGAUGGAGCUUGCUCCAGGCGUCGAGCGGCGGACGGGUGAGUAAUGCAUAGGAAUCUGCCCGGUAGUGGGGGAUAACCUGGGGAAACCCAGGCUAAUACCGCAUACGUCCUACGGGAGAAAGCAGGGGAUCUUCGGACCUUGCGCUAUCGGAUGAGCCUAUGUCGGAUUAGCUUGUUGGUGAGGUAAUGGCUCACCAAGGCGACGAUCCGUAGCUGGUCUGAGAGGAUGAUCAGCCACAUCGGGACUGAGACACGGCCCGAACUCCUACGGGAGGCAGCAGUGGGGAAUAUUGGACAAUGGGCGAAAGCCUGAUCCAGCCAUGCCGCGUGUGUGAAGAAGGCUUUCGGGUUGUAAAGCACUUUCAGUGAGGAAGAAGGCCUUGGGGCUAAUACCCCCGAGGAAGGACAUCACUCACAGAAGAAGCACCGGCUAACUCCGUGCCAGCAGCCGCGGUAAUACGGAGGGUGCGAGCGUUAAUCGGAAUUACUGGGCGUAAAGCGCGCGUAGGCGGCGUGAUAAGCCGGUUGUGAAAGCCCCGGGCUCAACCUGGGAACGGCAUCCGGAACUGUCAGGCUAGAGUGCAGGAGAGGAAGGUAGAAUUCCCGGUGUAGCGGUGAAAUGCGUAGAGAUCGGGAGGAAUACCAGUGGCGAAGGCGGCCUUCUGGACUGACACUGACGCUGAGGUGCGAAAGCGUGGGUAGCAAACAGGAUUAGAUACCCUGGUAGUCCACGCCGUAAACGAUGUCGACUAGCCGUUGGGGUCCUUGAGACCUUUGUGGCGCAGUUAACGCGAUAAGUCGACCGCCUGGGGAGUACGGCCGCAAGGUUAAAACUCAAAUGAAUUGACGGGGGCCCGCACAAGCGGUGGAGCAUGUGGUUUAAUUCGAUGCAACGCGAAGAACCUUACCUACCCUUGACAUCGUGCGAACUUUCCAGAGAUGGAUUGGUGCCUUCGGGAGCGCACAGACAGGUGCUGCAUGGCUGUCGUCAGCUCGUGUUGUGAAAUGUUGGGUUAAGUCCCGUAACGAGCGCAACCCUUGUCCCUAUUUG